AUUGAACGCUGGCGGCAUGCCUUACACAUGCAAGUCGAACGGCAGCACGGGUGCUUGCACCUGGUGGCGAGUGGCGAACGGGUGAGUAAUACAUCGGAACGUACCUUAUCGUGGGGGAUAACGCAGCGAAAGCUGUGCUAAUACCGCAUACGCCCUGAGGGGGAAAGCGGGGGAUCGCAAGACCUCGCGCGAUUAGAGCGGCCGAUGCCUGAUUAGCUUGUUGGUGGGGUAAAAGCCCACCAAGGCGACGAUCAGUAGCUGGUCUGAGAGGACGAUCAGCCACACUGGGACUGAGGCACGGCCCAGACUCCUACGGGAGGCAGCAGUGGGGAAUUUUGGACAAUGGGGGCAACCCUGAUCCAGCAAUGCCGCGUGAGUGAAGAAGGCCUUCGGGUUGUAAAGCUCUUUUGUCAGGGAAGGAACACCGGCUCUAACACAGUCCGGGAAUGACGGUACCUGAAGAAUAAGCACCGGCUAACUACGUGCCAGCAGCCGCCGUAA
rnacentral:rRNA from 1 species